rnacentral:rRNA from 1 species
UACGUAGGGGGCAAGCGUUGUCCGGAUUUAUUGGGCGUAAAGAGCGUGUAGGCGGCCUUACAGGUCAGCUGUGAAAACUCGAGGCUCAACCUCGAGACGUCGGUUGAAACCGUAUGGCUAGAGUCCGGAAGAGGAGAGUGGAAUUCCCGGUGUAGCGGUGAAAUGCGUAGAUAUCGUAAGGAAGACCAGUGGCGAAGGCGGGUCUCUGGACAGUUCCUGACGCUGAGGCACGAGGGCCAGGGGAGCAAACGGGG